AUUGUGACAUGCCGAAUUGUCACAGGGUUGUUGAUUGUUUGGUGCUGCCCUCGAGUGGCGAAAUGAGAGAAAAGAUAGACGGCAGCACUGCAGAGAACAGAUGGCAGCACUAGGCCACCAUGCUGGAUCAGAUAGGAAGCAGAAGGAAGCAUUCUGCUGAUGAGUAAUUUCUAUCGGUCAACAUCUACGAGGUUAUCGUGUGACCCAGGGCAGUUGUUGCCCGCGAAGUUGGUGUGGUCAUUUCUACGGUGGCAUGAUCUAGCGCGAUCAUGUACUGGGCUCCCUAGGGUAUGUGAGCCAAUGCUCUCUUGUGUAGCUAUUGGUUAGAAUGUUUUGUAUUUUGUAUAAUGUACAGUGUAAUAAAUAUAUGGUGUUAUUUCUGUAACUAUAGUCUAUAAUUCUAAUUAUUCUCAACGUUUAAAUGGGGUCGGUACCCCAUCAGCAUUAAGCUAUUGGAACAGUUAAUCGAUUGUAUGUACAUGUUGCGUGGUUUUAAGCGUUAGGCUGUCCAUGCGCUCAUGCAUGUGUAUUUGUAUGUUCCAGGGUUUUUGUUUGUUUACAAAUAAAUCUUCUACCCCGCA